rnacentral:rRNA from 1 species
GACGUAGGGCGCGAGCGUUGUCCGGAGUUACUGGGCGUAAAGCGCGCGCAGGCGGCCCUGUGCGCUGCCGGUGAAAGCUCCCGGCUUACCUGGGAGAGGUUCGGCAGGACGGCAGGGCUGGAGGGUGGGAGAGGUCGGUGGAAUUCCCGGUGUAGUGGUGAAAUGCGUAGAGAUCGGGAGGAACACCCGUAGCGAAGGCGGCCGACUGGACCACACCUGACGCUGAGGCGCGAAGGCCAGGGGAGCGAACGGG